GAUUCUCAUAUGUUCUGAAAUAGAAAUUGUAAUUCCCUCAAACUCCUGUGCCCAUGGAGUAUAUUUUAAUGCUAGAUUGCAAGUUUAUUGAUAUAAUAUUUAGUUUUUAAAUAUCCGCACGCAUCGCGUGCAUAUAAGACUAGUAUAUAUAUAUGGGGUCACCUUUCAAUUAGAAGAUCCUUAUAAUGAGAAGAAUGAGAAGAGAUCACGUCCGUGCACUCGAGAUAAUCCGACGGAUGACGUGAUGACCGACCGUGCAACAACAACAUCAACUCCAUCAAGGCAUUAAAAUUUAAAAGCAGAAAAAACAAAACAAAAAUCAGACCCACCCCCACCUUUUCUCUCUCCUCCAAUUUAUACCUCCACAACCUUCUUCUUCUUUCAAUGGCAGCAAUAAUUAAUUUUCUCCACAACAUCUUUCACUCUCCUCAAACACACUAAAACUGUAGCAAUAAUAAUUUCAUCUUAUGAUGAAAAUCUUCUUCUAAAUUUUUGAUUGUUGGAGAGAAAUUUGAUGAAUAUCAUCUUUAGAAUUGCAAAAGUAGGCUUUCGAAAUUAUUGAAUCAAUUACAACUUGAUUGCGAAAUCGGAUUAAUUAGUAAAAUUUUAUUGUGAAAUUGAAUACAUACAAAAUUUUAGGUUUGAUGUCGUCAAUUUCAUUUAAUGUUUCAAUUUCUACAUCACUUGGAAAUUUCGGAAUGGGAAUGCCAAUGGCAGAGCUAAACGAGAAGAUUGGGUGUCGUGGAGGGUUUACGACGAUGCCGGUGAAGGUGGCAUCCCUGGUCUCUGAUUCUGUAAACGUCAAGAUUUUGACGUCCUUGAUGGAGACAGUGGGUUUUAUGGGUUUGUAAAUCAAGUAGAAGCAGACGGCGGCGAGGAUGAGCAAAUUUUCGAUAAUGGUGGUCCAUAUCCAUCUGGACCACCUCAUGUCUAUUGUUUGUCCACCACAACGUUUAUGUUGUGCCUCCAGACUUGUUUGCUCAUCUUGUUCAAAAUUAGUGUAAUUGUAUAAAUGAGCAAAUAAAAUACAUUAGUUAUUUUUUCCGGAAAUGGCAAUAAUCCAGAAAAACUUGCGGUGAUUA